rnacentral:rRNA from 1 species
UACAGAGGGUGCGAGCGUUAAUCGGAAUUACUGGGCGUAAAGCGCACGUAGGUGGCGACGUAAGUCGGGUGUGAAAGCCCCGGGCUCAACCUGGGAAUUGCAUUCGAGACUGCAUUGCUGGAGUACGGAAGAGGAGGGCGGAAUUCCCGGUGUAGCGGUGAAAUGCGUAGAUAUCGGAAGGAACACCGGUGGCGAAAGCGGCGCGCUGGACCUCUUCUGACGCUGAGGCGCGAAAGCCAGGGGAGCAAACGGG